AUCUCCUCCUUCCAGACGUUCUUCGUGCCCCAUGUGUCACACAUUCUUCAUGUACGUUCCUGUUUCCCUGCUGCCAUUUCCACCUCUAAAACAGCCACUACUGACUGUCACUGCUGGUGAGGACAAGUCAGUCGUGUUAUUAGGAGUCUAGAGGCCAGCUGUUUCACUGCACUGCUAGUACAGGGAAAAUAACUAGCAUCUCCUCGGAGAACGGGCAAACUGAGACAUCACUCAGGACACGUGCCGCCGAUCUCCAGUUCUUCCUUUUGGUUUUCCACCCUGGAAUUUUUCUGAACCUCAGUUUCUCUGAAGACGUAUGCUGCGGCACAUGUUCCUGGGCACCUUACUGCACCUCCUACUACAUGAUCCAGAUGCUGUUUGAAAGAAAUUCAAAGC